GGAUGAGCCCGCGGCCUAUCAGCUUGUUGGUGGGGUAAUGGCCUACCAAGGCGACGACNGGGANCCGGCCUGAGAGGGNGAUCGGCCACACUGGGACUGAGACACGGCCCAGACUCCUACGGGAGGCAGCAGUGGGGAAUAUUGCACAAUGGGCGGAAGCCUGAUGCANCGACGCCGCGUGGGGGACGACGGCCUUCGGGUUGUAAACCUCUUUUAGCAGGGAAGAAGCGAAAGUGACGGUACCUGCAGAAAAAGCACCGGCUAACUACGUGCCAGCAGCCGCGG
rnacentral:rRNA from 1 species